rnacentral:tRNA from 1 species
GGGGGGGUGACCGAGUGGCUGAAGGUGCUCGCCUGCUAAGCGAGUGUGCGCUAACCGCGUACCGAGGGUUCGAAUCCCUCCCCCUCCG